rnacentral:rRNA from 1 species
GUCUAUGGACGUAAUGCCCUGUGUGUGCCUGACCUUGUCCGAUCCCGGAAGUUAAGCAGGGUCAGGCCUGGUUAGUACUUGGGUGGGAGACUGUGUAGUUGGUUUGUGCUGGUGACG